rnacentral:rRNA from 1 species
UAAGGGCGCACGGUGGAUGCCUUGGCACUAGAAGCCGAUGAAGGACGUUACUAACGACGAUAUGCUUUGGGGAGCUGUAAGUAAGCUUUGAUCCAGAGAUUUCCGAAUGGGGAAACCCAGCAUGAGUUAUGUCAUGUUAUCGAUAUGUGAAUACAUAGCAUAUCAGAAGGCACACCCGGAGAACUGAAACAUCUUAGUACCCGGAGGAAGAGAAAGAAAAUUCGAUUCCCUUAGUAGCGGCGAGCGAAACGGGAAGAGCCCAAACCAACAAGCUUGCUUGUUGGGGUUGUAGGACACUCUAUACGGAGUUACAAAGGACGACAUUAGACGAAUCAUCUGGAAAGAUGAAUCAAAGAAGGUAAUAAUCCUGUAGUCGAAAAUGUUGUCUCUCUUGAGUGGAUCCUGAGUACGACGGAGCACGUGAAAUUCCGUCGGAAUCUGGGAGGACCAUCUCCUAAGGCUAAAUACUCUCUAGUGACCGAUAGUGAACCAGUACCGUGAGGGAAAGGUGAAAAGCACCCCGGAAGGGGAGUGAAAUAGAACCUGAAACCGUGUGCUUACAAGUAGUCAGAGCCCGUUAAUGGGUGAUGGCGUGCCUUUUGUAGAAUGAACCGGCGAGUUACGAUUUGAUGCAAGGUUAAGCAGUAAAUGUGGAGCCGUAGCGAAAGCGAGUCUGAAUAGGGCGUUUAGUAUUUGGUCGUAGACCCGAAACCAGGUGAUCUACCCUUGGUCAGGUUGAAGUUCAGGUAACACUGAAUGGAGGACCGAACCGACUUACGUUGAAAAGUGAGCGGAUGAACUGAGGGUAGCGGAGAAAUUCCAAUCGAACCUGGAGAUAGCUGGUUCUCUCCGAAAUAGCUUUAGGGCUAGCCUCAAGUGAUGAUUAUUGGAGGUAGAGCACUGUUUGGACGAGGGGCCCCUCUCGGGUUACCGAAUUCAGACAAACUCCGAAUGCCAAUUAAUUUAACUUGGGAGUCAGAACAUGGGUGAUAAGGUCCGUGUUCGAAAGGGAAACAGCCCAGACCACCAGCUAAGGUCCCAAAAUAUAUGUUAAGUGGAAAAGGAUGUGGCGUUGCCCAGACAACUAGGAUGUUGGCUUAGAAGCAGCCAUCAUUUAAAGAGUGCGUAAUAGCUCACUAGUCGAGUGACACUGCGCCGAAAAUGUACCGGGGCUAAACAUAUUACCGAAGCUGUGGAUUGUCCUUUGGACAAUGGUAGGAGAGCGUUCUAAGGGCGUUGAAGCAUGAUCGUAAGGACAUGUGGAGCGCUUAGAAGUGAGAAUGCCGGUGUGAGUAGCGAAAGACGGGUGAGAAUCCCGUCCACCGAUUGACUAAGGUUUCCAGAGGAAGGCUC